CGCUUGGUGGAAAAAUCCCAGAUUUUGAAACGAUCAAGCUAAGUGACUCACGAACGUCCUCCAACUAGAAUUACUCCAAAAUUCGUCCAUUUGAUCCUGAUUUACUCCAGAAGAAGUCGAAAGUCCUAUAUUGAAAAUACAAUUCAAAGUAUCAAAAUUCUUCCAAUAUAUUAACCAAAAUAUACUAAGAUUAGAGUAAAAUAUAUAAUAUAAAAUCUACUCAUCAGCGUGCUGCUAUGGCUAAUGAACUCAAUGCCUUGUUGAAAAAUCAAAUGUGGAAUUUGGUGCCUCCCCAUUCUUCUCAGAACCUGGUUGGUUGCAAAUGGGUUUUCAAAAUAAAAAGACUUGCCAAUGGUUCCAUUGAGCAUUACAAGGCUGGGUUAAUGGCUAACGGUUAUCAUCAACAAUAUGGUUUUGAUUAUGAUGAAACGGUUAGUCCCGUGGUCAAUGAAGGAAUUAUUUUGAAAACAUGUUCAUUUGAGCAACAUCAUAUAGCAUGCAAUUAACAAUUAAAGGCGGAAUCAUGCUUGUAUGCACUAAAAAACAAAACAUUACCAUGAAAUUCAAAGCCUAGUAGAUUGGUGAACCAAUAAUCAACUCAAAACAAAGUGAGUUGAAAUUAAUACCUUUGUAGAUUCCUCUUUGCAUAAGCAAAGGCUAAUCACCCAAAGAGAUAGGGGCCUUCAUUCCUUGCUUCUUAGAUCCAUGGAUUUGGAUGGAAGAAUAGGUUCUCCAAGUUCCCAAAAUUGAGAACCUCUAAGUCUCUUCACCAAGGUUAGAUUGUAGAAGAAAUGAGUGACCUUGGAGUAGUAGGAUUGCUAGAUGUACCCUCCAAGGUGUUGGCCUCUUUAGAGAGAAAAUGGAGAGACAAUUCUCACCAAUUUUUCCCCAAAAUAAACCCUUUUAAUCCUUUAAUGAAUAUUUUGGCUAUAAAGUCAUUUAUAUAGUCACUUCUUUAAGUGACCUAAAGAACCAAAACCCUAAUUCAUCACACUAUGGCCGGCCAUUUAGGGAUUUUGGGCUUUUGGGCUUUAAUGAAUCUUUAUUCAUUAAAUUGUCAUACAACUUAAGUUAAUGGGCUUGACGUUCGAAGCCCAUUGGGCCUUAAGGUCCAAAACUAUCCCGAAGUCUUUAACGAACUUAUUCGUUUGAUUAAUUAACAUAUUAAUUAAUCCUUGCCAUAAAUAAAUGAUUAAACCAUUUAAUCAUUCUUACUCAUUUCCGUUUAAUCUCCAAUCUCUACCUUUUAUGGUGUGCGAUCCAUUAGGUUCCUUUUAGCGAGGUAGUGGGCGAUUAAAACCAUUUUACAUCGAUUGUGAAUUGAAACUAUUUUCAAUUCUCCCUUUAGUGAUUACACACGUUUAGGGCUUCCACAAACCAUGAGUGACACCUAGCAGCAUAUCAUGGUUACCCAAGCUAAUCAGAAGAGGUUAGAGAACCUAUUCAGUUCGGGAUUACAAAUGCAAUACGGUCUUUCUCUAAUCUAAUACUCUUGACCACAUUGUUUGGUUUGAUAGUUUAUUUGUUCAUGUCUACUAUCCAAUGUGAAUCUUGUGCUUAUAUGAUUUACUUGAAUGUGAUUUGGAACGCAUUCCCUAAUCUCAUUCAUACUCUGGCCAGAGAUUCUAAAUCAUAUCAUAGAGUAUUCUCCCUCAAACUGUUUGAAGGUUAGAGAUCCCUUGUUGCGCAUUCACUUGUCUCCAUAGCUAAGUGGCUUGAACCCCAACGAUGCCGUGGACACCCCGAGGGGGUGACUUUGACAUAAUCAAAGAUCAAGGACUUAACCACAAGACAACUGUGAUGCCUCAGGUCAAAGGACUACUUUGCAUUAUCCCAACCAUGAGUUCUCAUGUGACAUGGAAUAUGAGAACUCUUCGUUGAUCACGUUCAGUGAACUCAUUCUCUAUUGAGCACCUACGUACUUGUCUUGAUGUCACACACACCAAUGACUCGAGACUAAUCACUCUCCCUGAGAGAAGACAUAGUACGUACUGAUCUUAACGGACUGUCAAUGCCCAAUUGGCAAUCCUAUGAUCAGGAACAUUUAGGAUGUGUCUACGAAAGAAUGGUCUCAUGAAUCUAACUUCAUUAGAUUACAUUCUCCCAAUCACAUAUUCCUUGGACUUUAUCGUUUAAGCAUAUAACAUUUAUAUGAGACGGCUCAAACAAUAAUCUUUGCCCUUUAUAUGUAAAACUAGAUUAGUUUAACAUGUGAAAUGUCCGUAAAGUAUCAUCACAUGAUUGGCUUUAGGGCACAUUUCCAACAAUCUCCCACUUGCACUAGAGCCAAUCAGCUUGGUCAUCAGUAUGAUACCUCUUCUGUAGUCAUUUCAUAAAUGGCUGAAUAGUAGGCCUAGACAGUGGAUAUCUAUAUGUGUUAUCCAUAGAAGCAACCUUGAGAAUAACGACGUCACCAUUAUACAUGAUUCUCAAUCAUGUGGUUCAGUCUCUCAUUUGAGUUCGGAUCUUGAUGAGACCUUGAUUCCCAGGCUUGAGCUAUCGCCCCAUUAGUGUCAUACACUUUCUGGUUGGAACCGAAUAGAGAGUUCAUAAAUGAACUUUCCCAUCCAAACAACAUUGUUGUAAACUUCUAUAUGGCAAUAUAUCUUGCAUUCAUAAUGGAACACACUAAAGUCAUUACUUUAAUGUUUCCAUCCAAAUAUCUCUUUAGUCAUAAUAAAGAGAUAUUCGUUUAUCUCUUCAUUCAUAAUGAAGAAACAUCCAAUGAUGGAUUAGAUUCAUAAUCUAAUACAUUUACGCUUCCAUUACGUUACUCUAAUUCUUCCUCAUUCUUUGAGGAAUCUUAUCCUUUAGUAUUUCUUAAAUACUUAAGGACUCACUUGACAGUUGCCAUGGUUCUGAUCCUGGGCUUGCACUGAUAUCGUCUUGUACCGUUCUAGGUACAACUCAUAUCAAUGUUUUUCAUACAAUAUGAAAUACAUAAAUCACCUUUCUGCGUAUGCAUAAAGGAUUCUAUUUACGCAUUAUUUCUUUGGGAGUCAAAGGGUACGUUCCCUUUGAGAAGGGCAACUUGCUAGUCUCACUAGAAUCGUCCUUCUUAUUGAAGUUUAUCAUCAUAUGAGAAACUUCCUAGCAUCCAUUGUCUAUUAUUUAGGGAUUGAUAUAAUCCAAUUAUAUCAUGAAAUAUAUCAUUAUAGAUUUCCAUCCCAUGUAUAUAGACUAUAUCUCCCAUAUACAUUCUAUCUUCAUAUAAUGUAUUUAAAGUCAUAACUUUAACGAAGAAGUAUUCUUUUCAUUUCCAAAAUUAAUAUAUCAUAUAUACUUAAAUUUUAGGAACAUGAUUAACUCCCACUAAUCUUUUGUAAAACUAGUAAACAAAAGAUUCAUUUACAUCUUUAUGAGAAAUCAAACGAUUUGAUCCUUUUCCUCAUAAAAUGCAAAUAGCUCCCACUAACUUGCUAAGAUCCAUGAUGGAUGGAUCUCUACAACUUACAUGUCUUGUGAUUUAUAGUUUUAGACAUAUAUUAUCAAGACUAUCUUAAUAAUGGUUUCGGAAACCCAUAUUAUGUCAAAAACAUUGAAUCACCAUUUAGUUGUAGCUAGCAAUCUUCGAAUUAAUUGAAACUAAGACUACGUCAAAAAUGGUUCCUUCAAAGUCAACCAUUCUCUUUGAUUGUAGUCACCUUAAGCUACCAAUUAGCUAUGAAGGUUUCAUUAUUUCGAGUCAAAUGGUACUUUACCAUUUUCCUUGAGUAUAUAUAUCGUAUAUGCACUCAAUGUAACUCAUAAAGUUCAAAACCAUUCAACUGAGACGGUUUAUAAAUCCUUAUCGACUACCUUGGAGCUUGUGGUAUAGGAACUAGGUUGUUAUAUUUGUUGAUUACUUUCUUGUCUCUCAAAGAACCCAUUCUUUGAGUUCUAUCUCUCGUUCAUUUGCUUUUUAGGCAAAUCACAUUGUAGAAUUACAAUGAACUACCCAACAAAACAACAUUUGUUAGUUGGUUUAUAGAAGCGAUAUCCAAAAGUUAUUUUAAGGAUAUCCUACAAGAUUGUUAUCAAACAAAUAUUGCUUAUUAGCACACAACCCCAAAUCUUUAACAUGCUUAAGAUUUGUCUUUCUUUCCAACUACAUCUUAUGGAGUCAUGAAAAUAUUGGAAGAUCUUCUCAUUGACAAUCAUAUUGUUUUUAGAAGUAUAUAUAUCCUAUAUAUGGGUAAUAGAUAACAUCUAACGAACUAAAUCUUAUUCGAGUUCGUUCUUCUCCUAAUGGAGAAAUACAUUAUCUUAUGAUGCUAUUUUCCUUGAUAUCUUUCAAGGAAACUCAUCUAAAGUGUUACCUUUCCUUGGAUCAAAUCUAAGGAGGUAAAUACUUUAGAUGUCUUACUCAUCAACUUACAUUUCUUGAAUUCUUUGAAACAUUUUGCAAAGUAUUCGGACUUGUGUUUAUUCAAAAUAAACUAUAGUCCAACCGAGAGUGAUCUUCGGUGAAUGUUAUUCAACAUGAGUAGUAUUAUGUUUGUGGACAAGUGCCACUAACAUCUUAAGUGAAUUGACCUCAACAACUUUGUGAUUCUUUCUUCUUUCCAAAAGAAUAAAGAUUCGAACAUUUCGCCUCUAUACAAUUUUAACAAGAAGGUAUUGGAUCCGGAUCUAACGAUCCAAAGCAUCCAUUUUAUGACCAACUCGUAAUUUAUGUUUUAGAGGUAUCACAACUUUAGUUGGGAUUAGUCACUACCUUGCAACCUUUUGGGUUUUAAGCAUCAUUAUUUUCUAAACAGUUAACACUACCAUAUUAUCUCUACUAUAGAGACAAUUAAUUAGAUUACCAUAAUCCAAUCAUUGAUUAAUAAAGAACAUUGUUUUGUCAAACAAAACAUUUAUCCAUUUCACAUAGUGACGGAAUUUAGUUCCUUAAAAUUGGAAUAUAAAGACAAUCUAUGUUUUUUCCAAUUUCUUUGGUAGUUCAUAUGAGGAAGUAAGUACCAUCUGCUUUCGCAGAGAUCUAUAUUUGAUUCACGUUUCCGAAUGUGAAGCACCUUUUCUUCUCUCAUAUAUCUUCUACUUCUUAUUAGUCACACUUUUACAACGAUUUGUAAAACAUAGUUACUAAUACGGAAUCAAGCAUUCAAGUAGAAGAACCAACUGUUUUGAACUAUUCAAGAACAAUUUACAACACCUUCGAAAGGUGUGUUCUUGACACUUGCAAGACAUUUCUUGCAAAUAUACCCCUUCCAAUGUCCAUCCUUUCAUAAAGAAAGUUUGUUCCCUUGGAGUUAUUUAUCUUCUUUAUUUGACUUCUCCUUUGACUACAAUAGUCAUGGUCCCUAAACUCCCACUAUCUCUCUUGAAACCUUUUUCAAUUGUGUUAUACACAUCAAACAUUUUUGGAGAGCAUGUGGUUAUUGUUCACUACAUAGUUUACAAUAAACUUAGUGAACCAUUAGGAUAGGGAAACAAAGGUGAAGUCCUUGCCUAGUUUCCGUCUCGUUAAGUGGUUUUAUCACUUCAACACUUAAUGAUUCAAAAUCAUCAUAAGUCCAUGUUAAUGGACUAUUUUUGUCAACCAACCAUUAUGUUCUAAACAUAAUUACAAACUUUCAAGAGUUGUACAAGGCAACUCUCAUUUCUUCAUACAACAAUUUGUAAGUGAAGAAUCAUGGCACAUAAAGUGUCCAUGCCUUUGUGCUUUCUUCUCAAGUUCCUUGUUCAUGUAACAAAGAAACAAGCACUAAGUGUUUGCAUUGACUAAGGGUUGUUCAAAGCAACUCCUUAUUUCUUCAUACAACAAUUUGUAAUUGAAGAAUUAUGACAUUAAAAGUGUUGUCCUCUUUAUGAUAGACCUUUUCUAACAUAUUCUUCCAAUGAUACAUUAUCAAUAGGAAGAUUGUGAGGAUGAGACUACUUAGGUACAUUUACAAGCCAUUAAAGACAAUCUAUGGUUUUUGUAGUACCAAGUCCGUAAACUAAACGUUCGGCUUUUAUUUGUCAAGUGUUGGAUAGCGUUUGCAAAUAUAUUGGUAAACAAAUACAUAACGAAUAUAAAUUGAUUGAUUUUAAGCCAUUUGAUUCGGGUCUUUAAAUCAAAAUAGCACCACCCACUAUUUUUGGCAAAUUCCAUAUCCCUCAUUGGAAUUCGAGAGUUUUGGAUGAAACUCUUAGUAGGUUAUGGGAGACUCACUAUUACCAAGCCCACCUCAGAAGAACUCCAUAUUGGCUAGCAACAAUAAUAAUGAGAGAGUACGCUUACUCAUUUGCAACUAAUGCAAGUACCCAUCUCGUUUGGCCUCUAGAGAAUGAUGCCUCAGAAGAAUCCAUAUUUGGCACCAUUGCACUUAGUUAAGUCAUUCCCACCAUGCUAGUUCAAGUAGGGGUUCAAGAAUGGCCUCAGAAGAACUCCAUAUUGGCCACACUCGUUGCCUACCUUUCACUUCAUCAUAUGUGUAUAGGCUUCUCCUGAAUGUAAGCACAUACUUUGCAACCCCAGAAUUGGACGAAUACGGUGUAUGAGUCACAAACGAUUGGAAGCCUACCACGGUGGAAGGCCACGAAAGAGUGUUCUAAGCACUCUCACGCUUAUCAACUUAAUAUUGGUUUGGUUGAGGGUUUUAGGUCUCAUCACAUAUAAACAUUCAUUUUAAUCUCUAUUAAAACAAUUUUGGUCCUAUUACAACUAUUGGUCCAUUUGAUUGUUUUAGUUGUACAUAAUACUCCCACUAUGCUUUUAAAACGGUUUUUAAAGCAAGAGUAUAUGUUACUACUAACAUAAGGUUUGCAUUCAUUUGAUGGACUAUAUAGUUGCCUUAGGGCCUUAGGAUGACUAUGAACCUUUGUUUAGAUUCAACACGAGCCUUGUGUUGAAUCUCGGUCUAGGGAUGGAGAUUGAUUUUAGUUACGCGUUUAAUCACAUUAAGGCGUGUUGUCUUAGGGGCGUUGGACCCAAUUACUUCAUUUUCAUGCAUAUCAUAUAAAGCAAGAAAGAAAUACUUCAAAGUAAAAGUUGAGCUUAUGCUCAUUACAACAUUUGAAACAAUUCAAAUUACAACCAAAAUCUUAAUCUACACAUUCCCAUGGUUCAAACAAAUUUGAAAACGGCCUUUCACAUAGCUCAAUUAUUAUAGGCUUAGGUUCAUAAUCAUCCUUUAAUUAAUUAACAUUUUUAACUAAUUAAAUUGAAUGCAACAUUUUCAUUUGGUUUUUGUAUCCAUAAAAUUGAUUUAAAUGGAGCUAAACAAAAUGAAAAUCCAAUUCUCAUUUAAAGAGACAAAACAAUUUUGUUCUCAUCCUAUUUGGGCCAUCAUGCAAUAACCACAACUUUUUGGGCCAUAUUGCGAAAACAUAAACUUUUGGGGUCACUUUGUAAAAACACAAAAGUCACUACUUCAUGUAAAUACAACUAGAACCCAAAAUUUAAUUAAAUCAAAAACUUCAUUAAAGGAGCAAAACAAUUUGUCCUUUAGCGUUUUUAGGCCUUAAACGUCAAAAACGUAAACUUUCGGGUCAAAGUACAAAUACACAAAAGUAUCAAAACUUUAUGUAAUUGCAUAAAAGCCCAAAAAUACCCUAUUUUAAUAGGGUGGCCGGCCAUUUUAGGGAUAAAAGGUGUGGUGUGUGUUUUGAUUUAUUAGUUUUGUCAAAAACAUUCAAGUGGUGCAUAAGAAAAGAAAUUCUUAUCACCUUUUCUUUUACCUUUCAUAAAUGAUUGAUAUAUAUUUCUUUUGCUAUUUAAUCAAAUAUCUAAUAUUUUAAAUAUAUGAUAAAUCAUUUGAAAAACAUAUAACAUAAACUUUAUGAAAUAAUCAAAACUUUGAAUCAAAACACAAAACCUUUUUGUUCUUGGCAAGAACAUCAAGAACAAUGAAGAACAUCCAUGAAAACCCAUAAGAGCUCCAUGAAUGUUUUCAAGCCAUAAAAAACUCAAAUUUUCACCAUUCAAAAUGAUGUUAACAUCCUAGGGUACUUAGGGGUUCCAAAAGUCACCUUAAAACACUUUUAACAAGACAAACAUGAACCCAAAAAAUCACCCUUUGGAUUUGGCCGAAAAUCCCCAAAAUCAUGGCACCAAAUUUUAGCUCCAAUAUUCAUGCCUCAUAUGAACUACAUCUACAACAUUUGAGAUGGCAAAUUUUCAAACAAAAUUUUACAUUCAAAGAAGCAAGAAUAAAGCUUGUAACAAUUACAACUUUUAAAUCAUAAACUUAUGAACUACAAAACCCAAAAGGAUUCACCAACUACUAGACCUAGGCUCUUGAUACCACUUGAAGGAAUUAUUUUGAAAAACAUGUUCAUUUGAGCAACAUCAUAUAGCAUGCAAUUAACAAUUAAAGGCGGAAUCAUGCUUGUAUGCACUCAAAAACAAAACAUUACCAUGAAAUUCAAAGCCUAGUAGAUUGGUGAACCAAUAAUCAACUCAAAACAAAGUGAGUUGAAAUUAAUACCUUUGUAGAUUCCUCUGUGCAUAAGCAAAGGCUAAUCACCCAAAGAGAUAGGGGCCUUCAUUCCUUGCUUCUUAGAUCCAUGGAUUUGGAUGAAGAAUAGGUUCUCCAAGUUCCCAAAAUUGAGAACCUCUAAGUCUCUUCACCAAGGUUAGAUUGUAGAAGAAAUGAGUGACCUUGGAGUAGUAGGAUUGCUAGAUGUACCCUCCAAGGUGUUGGCCUCUUUAGAGAGAAAAUGGAGAGACAAUUCUCACCAAUUUUUCCCCAAAAUAAACCCUUUUAAUCCUUUAUGAAUAUUUGGCUAUAAAGUCCUUUAUAUAGUCACUUCUUUAAGUGACCUAAAGAACCAAAACCCUAAUUCAUCACACUAUGGCCGGCCAUUUAGGGAGUUUUGGGCUUUUGGGCUUCAAUGAAUCUUUAUUCAUUAAAUUGUCAUACAACUUAAGUUAAUGGGCUUGACGUUCGAAGCCCAUUGG
rnacentral:lncRNA from 1 species